GUAGUUGUCUUUGUUAGAAUGUAAUGCACAGUUGUAGACAACAAAGGGCUAACUUUCUAAUAACAUUUUAUAGUUUCUUCAGACUGCAAUUUGUUCAUUCCUGUAAGUGUAAGCAUAUAUAUUAUAUAUGUGUAUAUAUACAUAAAGUAUAUAUACACACCCAAUGUGUAUAUAUAUACACAUAUAUACACACACACAAUGUGUAUAUAUAUAUACACAUAUAUACACACACACAAUGUGUAUAUAUAUACACACACACAAUGUGUAUAUACAUAUAUAUACACACACGAUGUGUGUAUAUAUAGACAUACAUACACAGACACGAUAUGUAUACAUAUACACAUACAUACACACACGAUGUGUGUCUAUAUACACAUACAUACACACACAGUGUGCCUAUAUACACAUAUAUACACACACACAGUGUGCCUAUAUACACAUAUAUACACACACAGUGUGUAUAUAGACCCACACACACACACACACAGUGUGUAUAUAGACCCACACAUACACACACACACAGUGUGUAUGUAGACACACACACACACACACAGUAUGUAGACACACACACACACACAAUGUGUAUGUAGACACACACACACACACAGUAUGUAGACCCACACACACACACAAUGUGUAUGUAGACCCACACACACACAGUGUGUAUGUAGACCCACACACACACAGUGUGUAUGUAGACCCACACACACACACACACAGUGUGUAUGUAGACCCACACACACACACACACACACACACAGUGUGUAUGUAGACCCACACACACACACACACACACAGUGUGUAUGUAGACCCACACACACACACACACACACAGUGUGUAUGUAGACCCACACACACACACACACAGUGUGUAUGUAGACCCACACACACACACACACAGUGUGUAUGUAGACACACACACACACAGUGUGUAUGUAGACACACACACACACAGUGUGUAUGUAGACACACACACACACACAGUAUGUAGACACACACACAUACACACAGUGUGUAUGUAGACACACACACAUACACACAGUGUGUAUGUAGACACACACACAUACACACAGUGUGUAUGUAGACACACACACAUACACACACAGUGUGUAUGUAGACACACACACACACAGUGUGUAUGUAGACACACACACACACACACAGUGUGUAUGUAGACACACACACACACACACACAGUGUGUAUGUAGACACACACACACACACACAGUGUGUAUGUAGACACACACACACACAGUGUGUAUGUAGACACACACACACACACAGUGUGUAUGUAGACACACACACACACAGUGUGUAUGUAGACACACACACACACAGUGUGUAUGUAGACACAUACACACACAGUGUGUAUGUAGACACACACAUACACACACAGUGUGUAUGUAGACACACACAUACACACACAGUGUGUAUGUAGACACAUAUAUACACACACAGUGUGUAUGUAGACACACAUACACACACAGUGUUAUAUAUAGACACACAUACACACACACAGUGUGUAUAUAUAUACACACACACACGGUGUGUAUAUAUAUACACAUAUACACACACACGGUGUGUAUAUAUAUACACAUAUACACACACACGGUGUGUUUAUAUAUACACAUAUACACACACACGGUGUGUGUAUACAUACACAUGUAUACACACAUACGGUGUGUGUAUACAUACGCGUAUACACACACACACACACACGCACACACACACAUAUAUGUGUGUGUGCUCAGCCCUCUAUAUCCAUGAGUUCUGAAUCCGUGGAUUCAACGAACUGUCGGUAAAACAUAUUUCAGAAAAUUUCAAAAAGUAAAACUUGAAUUUAUUGUGCAUUGAAUACUACAUUGAAUACACACAAAGAAAGUGAUGCAUAGGUAUUGUAUUACAUAUUAUAAGUAAUCUAGAGGUUAUUUAAAAUAUACUGGAGGAUGUGCACUUGCAUACAAAUACUAUGCCGUUUUAUAUAAGGGACACUAGCUUUUGUAUAUUUUGGUAUUUGCAGGGGGUCCUGGAAACAAUCUCCCAUGGACAGAGAGAGAUGACUCUGUGUGUGUGUGUGUGUGUGUGUGUGUGUGUGUGUGUGUACACGUGAGUGCCUGUGUGUGUGAGUGUGUGUGUAAUUUUUUAAGAAAUAAUGGGCGAUGGAGGAUGGCGUAUAGGAGCAGAAGAUCAUGGAGGUGACAACCCAUUUCCUGCCCUUGCUCCCUCCCCUGCCACAGGUGCUAGUCUUAGGUGAAGCCAUUUCAGAUAAUAAGCUCUUCUUCGCAUCUUCACUUCUCACUGUCAUCUUUCUCUCCUCUCUAUAUUUCUCAG
rnacentral:lncRNA from 10 species